ACGUAUAAAUAAAGGGGAGAGGAAAGUCCGGGCAACACAGAGCACCAUACUUCCUAACGGGAAGACGCUAAGCACUGCGUGCCAACAACGUGCAAGACGUAGCAAGCGUAACAGAAAAAAACCGCCUAACCCUCUAGGGAAAGGUAAGGGUGAAAAGGUGAGGUAAAAGCUCACCGGAGUGGAUGGUGACAUCCAUUGCCGUACGCCUUAUGGGUUGUAAGAUCAAGUAUACCGGCAUAUAGGGGUUGCUCGCUCCUCCCAUGCCGGGGGGUAGAUUGCUAGAGCCUUGGGGUAACUCAUGGCGUAGAUUAAUGAUAGACACUUUGUCUUACCCUUUUGAAAAGAGGUAAUACAAGGGACAGAACCCGGCUUAUCGGUCGGU
rnacentral:RNase_P_RNA from 1 species